GAGUCCAUAGAGCCAAUAUGUGUGUGUUCCUUCAGCAACACUCAGUCCUCAUCCUGCCCAGCACUUUGGUAUUCAAAUUUGUCACCUUACAAAGCUGUGGUUCUGCUGAGACCCUCUGGUCCCCCAACAGCAGCAGGACAUUGAAGGAUUUGAGCUGUGAUCUCCAAGCAGCUGCAACCCCCUGCUCUAACCCCCCUCAUUUCCACCUCAGCCACGGUUUCCUCAGCCCUACAUUUCCUCCAGGGAUGUGCAAAGAACACACAGAAGUUGAAGUUGCUGCUGUGUGAGGAAGAGAGCAGGUUCUGUGCAAGGUGGUGCUCACACUUGUGCUAGAGCCAUCCUUUGGUGAGU